GAUGAACGCUAGCGGCAGGCCUAACACAUGCAAGUCGAGGGGUAACUAGAGUGAUAGCAAUAUUACUUUGGCUAGACCGGCGCACGGGUGCGUAACACGUAUGCAACCUACCUUAUACUGGGGAAUAACUUCGAGAAAUCGGCGCUAAUACCCCAUAACACUGCGGAGAGGCAUCUCUUUGCAGUUAAAGCUCCGGCGGUAUAAGAUGGGCAUGCGUCCAAUUAGCUAGUUGGUGAGGUAACGGCUCACCAAGGCUACGAUUGGUAGGGGUUCUGAACGGAUGAUCGCCCACACAGGUACUGAGACACGGACCAGACGCCUACGGGAGGCAGCAGUGAGGAAUAUUGCGCAAUGGACGAGAGUCUGACGCAGCCAUGCCGCGUGCAGGAUGACGGCCCUAUGGGUUGUAAACUGCUUUUGUACGGGAAUAAACCCUUCUACGUGUAGGAGGCUGAAGGUACCGUAAGAAUAAGCACCGGCUAACUCCGUGCCAGCCGCCGCCGUAA
rnacentral:rRNA from 1 species